rnacentral:lncRNA from 10 species
GCUGGAGGAGGAUGAAGAGAAGGAGUGGGACGCCCACAACCCUCAGGUCAGGUGCCCAGCAGUGGCAGUGCACAGGUCAGCUCUGGAGGGGGAGGUCCAUGCUGCCGUCCAUGCCCAGCCUCCACCCUUCCCCCACUCCACACUUGGAGCCCAUCAAACAUGCACGGGAGAGCUGGGAAAAGAGGCUGAUGAUGCCUGCAGAGGGGGCAGCUGUGGAGAUCUGAGCACCGAGAGCCCCUCUGAAGCGAACAGACCUCAGAGACACCCGCCCGGCACAGCUAUCCCCACAGCUGUCCAUCUGGUACUUGGUCCCAGAACUCCCAGACACCUUGCUCCCAAUCCAUUCAUUUCCAAGUCCUUAACCAUCCUAACCAUCCAGCCAGACAUUCACAACUGCUCAGGAGUCAGUGUGGAUGCAUGUAUGCAAUACUAUCCAGGGAUUAGGAAGAAGUGAAGGGCUGGAACAUGGCGGUAAACCUGAGAACAGUGUACACAAAGUACACGGAUUAUAUGACUCCCUUUCUGUGAACUGUCUGGAGCAGGCACAUUCGGAGAGACAGCCAGUGGAUUUGCGGUU